GACGAACGCUGGCAGCGUGCUUAACACAUGCAAGUCGAACGAAGUGGCGAACGGGUGAGUAAUACGUGAGUAACCUGCCCUCCUUUUUGGGCUAAGCCUUGGAAACGGGGUCUAAUACCUAAUAAAGGGGGAUGGGCUCGCGGCCUAUCAGCUUGUUGGUGGGGUGAUGGCCUACCACGGCGGUGACGGGUAGCCGGCCUGAGAGGGUGAACGGCCACAUUGGGAAUGAGGUACGGCCCACAGUCAGACGGGGGGAGGCAGGGGGGGAUAUUGCAGAAUGGGCGAAAGCCUGAUGAAGCGAAGCAGCGUGGGGGAGGAAGGGUUUUGGGUUGUAAACCUCUUUCGAUAGCGAACGGGUAGGGGGAGAAGAAGGGACGGCUAACGACGUGCCAGCAGCCGCGGUAAUAC
rnacentral:rRNA from 1 species